UACGGGGGGGGCAAGCGUUGUUCGGAAUUACUGGGCGUAAAGGGUUCGUAGGUGGCCAACUAAGUCAGACGUGAAAUCCCUCAGUCUAACUGGGGAACUGCGUCUGAGACUGGAUGGCUUGAGUGCAGGAGAGGAACGCGGAAUCCCAGGUGUAGCGGUGAAAUGCGUAGAUAUCUGGAGGAACACCGGUGGCGAAGGCGGCGUUCUGGACUGCUACUGACACUGAGGCACGAAGGCCAGGGGAGCAAACGGG
rnacentral:rRNA from 1 species